rnacentral:rRNA from 1 species
CACGUAGGGCGCAAGCGUUGUCCGGAAUUAUUGGGCGUAAAGAGCUCGUAGGCGGUCUGUUGCGUCUGCUGUGAAAACCCGGGGCUUAACCCCUGGCUUGCAGUGGAUACGGACAGACUAGAGGUAGGUAGGGGAGAAUGGAAUUCCCGGUGUAGCGGUGAAAUGCGCAGAUAUCGGGAGGAACACCAGUGGCGAAGGCGACUUCCUGGCCUGUUCUUGACGCUGAGGCGCGAAAGCUAGGGGAGCAAACGGG